rnacentral:rRNA from 1 species
CCCUUAGAUGUUCUGGGCCGCACGCGCGCUACACUGACGAAUGCAACGAGCUUAUAACCUUGGCCGAAAGGUCUGGGUAAUCUCCAAAUUUCGUCGUGAUGGGGAUAGAUUAUUGCAAUUAUUAAUCUUCAACGAGGAAUGCCUAGUAAGCGCAAGUCAUCGGCUUGCGUUGAUUACGUCCCUGCCCUUUGUACACACCGCCCGUCGCUCCUACCGAUUGAAUGGUCCGGUGAAGCGCUCGGACCGCGGCCUCUUGACGGUUCGCUGUCGAUUGGCUGUGGGAAGUUCGUUAAACCUUAUCAUUUAGAGGAAGGAGAAGUCGUAACA